rnacentral:lncRNA from 1 species
CCCGUCCUGGCACUUUCGAGGUGCGACCUCAGCAAGACAAGUCCCCUCUUCGCCCGAGACGACGCGGCGGGUAGGACCGCGAUACCCCGCACCCCCUCUUGCCCAAGUUCAUCGGCCUUCUGCGCGUCCUGGGGAGUCCCGUACCGACUGGAGUUGGGGGGAGCCCAGUUCACCACUUCCCUUCCCAGCUCAGGAAAGUCCGGGCCGGGAAGUAUUCUUUGUCUGACUCCGGGCGGGGAGGGGGUCGCGCCCCGGUACACCCCAUUCCCAGCGGCCCAGCCGGGAGGGGGCGGGGCCCAGAUUCUUGGGGAAGGGCGGGCCUCGGUGGCCUCUCUGGCCGCCCCCUCCCCGCGCGGGCCUUCGGCUGCCCCCACUCCCGCCGCGCCACAGCCCCCACCUGUUCCCGAGGCAGCUCCCGCCCGCGGGGGCCCGGGCCAGGGGCGGAGUGUCGCGGCUGCGCGGGGUCAGUGCGCCGCGGCCGGCCCUGGCUGGAACAAAGUGCGCCGGCCCGGGCCCGGCUCCUCCCGGCGCCCGGCGCGUCUCGGGCGGGCAGUUUGCAAACACAAAGUGAGCCAGCGAGCGGGCGAGAGAGUGCGCGAGCUAGGGAGUUGGUCUGGUCGCCCGCCCAGCCCCCACCCGCGUCCCUGGGCCCGGCCCGCCACCUACCUGUCCCGCCCGGCCGCUCCGUACGGGCUCCGGCCCGUCAGCCCGCGCGGGGCAUGGGGCUCGCUCCGAUCGCAGCCCGGGCCCGCCGCCGCCCGCCGGGGCUGCCCCUCCGCGCCGCCCCGCGCCGCGCAGCUCCCGGGUGUCCUCCCAGCGCGCCGCGCCGACCGCCGCGCGCCUCAACCCCGCCGGGGCAUCGCACUUUGUGGGCUGCUCGGCUCGCUCCGGCUCCGCUCUUCCUUCCCGGUCCUUCCGCGACGCUCGUCACCUCGCUCCGGCUCCCGGGCUCCGGGACCCCGGCGUCCCCGCCCCCGGCCCAGCCCUGGUUCCGGCCCGGGCUCCUCCCCGCCGCGCCGCCGCCGCCUGCGCCGCGCCCUCCUCGCGGGCUGGGGGCUCCGUCCCGGCCGCCGGCCGCACUGUCCGGUCCGCAGGGGCGGCGGGCUCCGGACUCCGAGGGGCUGCGACUGA